UACGGAGGGGACUAGCGUUGUUCGGAAUUACUGGGCGUAAAGCGCACGUAGGCGGAUUUGUAAGUCAGGGGUGAAAUCCCGGGGCUCAACCUCGGAACUGCCUUUGAUACUGCAAAUCUCGAGUCCGGAAGAGGUGAGUGGAAUUCCUAGUGUAGAGGUGAAAUUCGUAGAUAUUUAGGAAGAAACACCGAUGGCGGAGGACGGGCGCUGG
rnacentral:rRNA from 1 species